rnacentral:rRNA from 1 species
CUACGGGCGGCACCAGUAGGGAAUAUUGCACAAUGGAGGAAACUCUGAUGCAGCAACGCCGCGUGGAGGAUGACACUUUUCGGAGCGUAAACUCCUUUUAUAUAGGAAGAAGAUGACGGUACUAUAUGAAUAAGCGCCGGCUAACUCCGUGCCAGCAGCCGCGGUAAUACGGAGGGCGCAAGCGUUACUCGGAAUCACUAGGCGUAAAGAGCGUGUAGGCGGAUUAAAAAGUCAGAAGUGAAAUCCUAUAGCUUAACUAUAGAACUGCUUCUGAAACUCUUAAUCUAGAAUAUGGGAGAGGUAGGUGGAAUUUCUGGUGUAGGGGUAAAAUCCGUAGAGAUCAGAAGGAAUACCGAUUGCGAAGGCGAUCUACUAGAACAUUAUUGACGCUGAGACGCGAAGGCGUGGGGAGCAAACAGGAUUAGAUACCCCUGUAGUC